rnacentral:rRNA from 1 species
UACAGAGGGUGCAAGCGUUAAUCGGAAUUACUGGGCGUAAAGCGUGCGUAGUCGGUUAUUUAAGUCGGAUGUGAAAUCCCCGGGCUCAACCUGGGAAUUGCAUUCGAUACUGGAUAGCUAGAGUUCGGCAGAGGGAAGCGGAAUUUCUGGUGUAGCGGUGAAAUGCGUAGAGAUCGGGAGGAACAUCUGUGGCGAAGGCGGCCAUCUGGACCAGCACUGACACUGAGGCACGAAAGCGUGGGGAGCAAACAGG